UACAGAGGUCUCAAGCGUUGUUCGGAUUCAUUGGGCGUAAAGGGUGCGUAGGCGGCGCGGUAAGUCGGGUGUGAAAUCUUGGAGCUUAACUCCGAAACUGCAUUCGAUACUGCCGUGCUUGAGGACUGGAGAGGAGACUGGAAUUUACGGUGUAGCGGUGAAAUGCGUAGAUAUCGUAAGGAAGACCAGCGGCGAAGGCGAGUUCCUGGACAGUUACUGACGCUGAGGCACGAAGGCCAGGGGAGCAAACGGG
rnacentral:rRNA from 1 species